GGGUUUAAGAUUAGUCAACCAACCUCUCAAAUAGUCUCGUUGGUUCCCAUUUAUUUAGGAUUUAGUGACUCCCUUAUACUGUUCCAGCUUCGCCUUAUUCAGUGUUAAGAAGGCCUCUGAAGAUAACAAAUAUCUGAGAACUAACUGUCGUUGUUGUUUUCAGGUGAUAGAGAGAGCAAAAGAAGGUGAGAGUUUGGAUGAACUGCGGGCUCGAACAGCUGCACAAUUUAGUGAAGAUAAUGGAUUUCAAAAUGCUGAUAGGUUGUCCAAGAAAAGGAAGCUCAGUAUUUUAGAUGAAUGAAUAUUAAGUUUAAAGAUCUACAACUGAAUGAAGGUGCAUCAUCUUUUGAUGGACGGCCUCAAUCCUCUGCAUGGCGCAACAGCGACAUCUCAGCAUUUAAAUCAAUAGUCAUUUGGAAGGAAGUGGCUACUUAGAUGUGCGGGACAAAGGUGAUCGAUGGAUUCGCAUUUGGAUGAAGUGGCUACUUAGAUGUGCGGGACCUGCUGGAAUCUAUCAUCGGUUCACUUUUGACACAAGUAACUAUGUGAAGGCUUUCAAAUUGAGACUGGUGGGGUCAAGCAAGUAUUCAAGUUUUUUGGACUAUGGAUAUUGGGUUGCUGAUGUUAAGCGUUUGAUCAAUCCUUAUUUUGACAUGGUUCCAGCAUUAUGGUGUUGCAGAAGAGGCUAGAUCAUAGAUUUAAUGGCUAUUAGGUGCCAACCAAGCCCCGAGCUACCCGCUCCCCUAGGGUAAAUAAGUUUUGCUGGACCAGGUUCAAGUUCAAGAGGAAUGAGACCAAUAGAGAAUCCCGAGAACACUGGCAGAAGGGGUCCAAUGCCCUGACAUGGGAGGAGUUGAUUCAACCUCUGCCCGUGCUUGGGAACUCAGAACCUCCUUGAAAAUUCACCUGAGAAGAAGCACCGUCUCCCAUAUGCUUACAAUCGUUUCAUGAAGUUCCUUAUCUGAAUAUUCUCAUAUCAAAUAUUAAUCGGGGGGUUUCUUUCCACUUCUGAGUUCAUGACACAUGCUGAAUAAUAAGGAUUAGAUUAAGAGAAGAAGGUGGAUGAUGGCAACAAAACAAUAGACCAAGGGGAGAAAAAUUUGUAUUGGAGGUGUUUGAUCCGGCGAACUAUGUUAAGAAUGGGACUACUUUCUACUUUCCUUUGAUUCUGUAGGCUGUAACUGAAGAAUAAACAGGAAGGGAAUGAUGCUGCUACUGUUGCAAAGGAGAAACACUCAGCAAAGGAAAAAAAUCAUAAAAGGAAAAAGGGCUUUUCCAUGGGAGAUGUAUGAUGGAGACCAUAGUAAUAGAAGAUUUAAGGAAGAUUUUGGUUUCAUAUAUUAUAAGGCAGUGUUACAAGUAAGUGUGCUGGAUAAAGAGUGUCAUACUUGAUUUGAACUGAGGAUGAUUCAUCUACAGAAUAAGCAAGGAACUGCAGAUGAAUUAGAGGAUAGAAGGAGUUCUCAAAAUUAUUUGCUGGCUUGCAAAGACCAUAGUGGAUAAGCAAGUAACUGCAGGUGAAUUAGAGGAUAUGAGUUCUCAAACUUAUUUGCUGGCUUGCAAAGACCAUGGAUAUUGUGGGAUUCUUCAUCUUUAAACAUGUAAUAUAUGUUUUAAUAACGAGAACUUACAAUGGUUGAUUUAGUUGGGAAGCUGCUCAUUCUCUUUUUUAUAUUGUGAUCUGUACAUGUAUGAUCUUAUCUCAAUCUUUUUGCAAUGUGGGGAAUUUGAAGGUGGCUGAUAUA